UAGAUGUCCUUUACUGAAUAGUAUAGUAU
rnacentral:piRNA from 1 species